UAAAGAAGGAUUGAUACAUUCUCUAUGUUCCUUAUAAGCAGAUAUAACAGAGAUAUAAGAAGCUGGUGAUUGAUUUGUCAAACUACUUUGGUGUUAUAUCAUUUUGAUUUUCAAGGCAUUUCAUAUAUAUAUAUUUUUAUAAUUAAUAUUGGAUAUAUCUCACACUUUGCAAACAUCUGCGAGUGAAUGAUUUGUUCAGCUGCUCUUAAUUUAUGAACUGUGUUAGUAUUCUAGCAGCUGGAAAUUGAUUAUGUGAUCGGAGAGAGUCACGAAGAGUUGUCGCCUAAUUUUUCUGGUCCUGCUGCUAUUAUUCGAAUCUUUGGCGUCACAAGAGAAGUUGGACAUGUUGCAGCACAGCGUAGAAAGCAACAUGCAGUUUCAAUCGGAAAAGAACGAAGAGACCGCUUGUGCGAACCAAGCGACUUUGCAGAGUGGGAGUUAGUGGUGAUAGUGAUGUUCCUAUAGAUAGGGACAUGAUGAUUGAGGAAGACCAAUCCAUUUUGGAAGCUCAGACUUCAGCAGCUGUUGAAGAAUUAAAACUCUCUGUUGCCUAUCAGAUAAUGGUUUCUUUGUGGAGUAUACGGAAUUUUCUCGGACGUUUUGGAGCUGGUUAUGUAUCAGAUGUUUACCUCCAGAAAAGAGGCUGGCCAAGGCCAGUUUUUAUGAUUCUUACGCUAGCAACCAUGGCUUCUGGUCAUUUAGUUAUCGCAUCUGGAUUUCCUGGGAAUUUGUGUUUGGGUUCUGUUAUAGUUGGUGUUGUUAUGGUUCUCAGUGGUCCUUGAUGCCCACCAUUACCUCAGAAAUUUUUGGUGUGCUGCAUUUAGGAACCAUUUUCAGCACCAUUGAUGUGGCUAGCCCCAUCGGAUCUUAUAUAAUGUCUGUUCGAGUGGCUGGCUAUAUUUACGACAAAGAAGCAUCAGGGCAACGGACAUGUAAUGGCACUCAUUGUUUUAUACUUUCAUUUUGCAUAUUUGCUGUUGUAAGUCUUUUCAAUACAAUACAACAUUUGUCAAGAGGGUAGAUGUGCAUUCAAGCUCAGGUCACUGAUGUUAUGUCAUUUUGUCUCAAAUCUGCUUUGAUAGUUAUGCCAUUGUAUUGACUCUAAUAACUUGUAAGGCAUAUCAAUCUUCAAGUAGUCAAGACCCAUUACCCAAGUGGUAGCAGAUUUGCAAGUUACAUAUAAUUUUGGUUUUGUGUAA